rnacentral:tRNA from 1 species
GGUUCCAUAGUGUAGCGGUUAGCACAUCUGCUUUACAUGCAGAAGGUCCUGGGUUCACAUUCCAGUGGAGCUC